rfam:Gossypium hirsutum cultivar TM-1 unplaced genomic scaffold scaffold190.1, whole genome shotgun sequence
UAUUAAAAAUAUCAUUCAUUUCUAUGUUAAAAAUUGGAAUGUUUGACGAAAUAAUCACAGUUACACAUGGGACGCUAUAUGUACCUCAUGAUGAUAUAUAAUGAAAAGUUUUUAACAGUAAAAAUGAAUAAAAAUUUUAACA